GCUGCCGUGAGUCGGCUGGUGAGUGUUCCGAGGGCUUCCAUUUGGUCAAGUGGUCUACCAUCACAGCGAGGUAGACAGAGGCCAGUACGACACGCAUAGGAGCUUCACGGAAACCGUUGGAAUGGGUUUGCGGCAGAAGGAGGCCACAAGCCUGUACAGCGGCAGUUGCCUCCCAAAAGGAUGAAGCAAACAGAGUGCUGCCUGAAGCCUUGUGGAAAAGGAAGCAACGCAGGUCAACUCAAAGAUCAAGCUAACACCUGAAAAGAAAAUAAAUAAACAGAGAUGUCAUUUUCAGUCCUACA